rnacentral:misc_RNA from 1 species
GUAGGUGAACCUGCGGAAGGAUCAUUACUGAGAGAGGGGCCCGCGCUCCGGGGGGCUUCGGCCCCUGACUCUUUACCCCGUGUCUAUCUACCUUUGUUGCUUUGGCGGGCCAUGGGGCUCGGUCCCCGUCACCUCCAGCGCCCGAUGGCCUGGGUCGGUGCGUGCCCGUCGGAGACCCAUCAAAUCCUGUUCAUCAGUGAUGUCCGAGUACGAAUACACAAUAGUCAAAACUUUCAACAACGGAUCUCUUGGUUCUG